rnacentral:rRNA from 1 species
UACGUAGGUGGCAAGCGUUGUCCGGAUUUACUGGGCGUAAAGAGCGCGCAGGCGGUCGUGCAAGUCGCGUGUGAAAUCCCUCGGCUUAACCGGGGAACUGCGUCCGAUACUGGAGGGCUUGAGUGUGGGAGAGGGAUGCGGAAUUCCAGGUGUAGCGGUGAAAUGCGUAGAUAUCAGGAGGAACACCGGUGGUGUAGACGGCUUUCUGGACCGUAACUGACGCUGAGACACGAAAGCGUGGGUAGCAAACAGG